rnacentral:rRNA from 1 species
UACGUAGGGGGGCAAGCGCUGUCCGGAAUCAUUGGGCGUAAAGCGCGCGUAGGCGGCCCGGUAAGUCCGUUGUGAAAGUCAAAGGCUCAACCUUUGAACGCCGAUGGAUACUGCCGGGCUAGAGUCCGGAAGAGGCGAGUGGAAUUCCCAGUGUAGCGGUGAAAUGCGUAGAUAUUGGGAGGAACACCAGUGGCGAAGGCGGCUCACUGGACCGGAACUGACGCUGAGGCGCGAAAGCGUGGGGAGCAAACAGGAU